CCUACGGGUGGCAGCAGUGAGGAAUAUUGGUCAAUGGACGAGAGUCUGAACCAGCCAAGUAGCGUGAAGGAUGACUGCCCUAUGGGUUGUAAACUUCUUUUAUAUGGGAAUAAAAUGUUCCACGUGUGGGAUUUUGUAUGUACCAUAUGAAUAAGGAUCGGCUAACUCCGUGCCAGCAGCCGCGGUAAUACGGAGGAUCCGAGCGUUAUCCGGAUUUAUUGGGUUUAAAGGGAGCGUAGGUGGAUUGUUAAGUCAGUUGUGAAAGUUUGCGGCUCAACCGUAAAAUUGCAGUUGAAACUGGCAGUCUUGAGUACAGUAGAGGUGGGCGGAAUUCGUGGUGUAGCGGUGAAAUGCUUAGAUAUCACGAAGAACUCCGAUUGCGAAGGCAGUUCACUGGACUGCAACUGUCACUGAGGCUCGAAAGUGUGGGUAUCAAACAGGAUUAGAUACCCUUGUAGUC
rnacentral:rRNA from 1 species